AGACUGGAAUAACUCCGGGAAACCGGGGCUAAUGCCGGAUAACAUGUUGAACCGCAUGGUUCUACAGUGAAAGACGGUCUUGCUGUCACUUAUAGAUGGACCCGCGCCGUAUUAGCUAGUUGGUGGGGUAACGGCCUACCAAGGCGACGAUACGUAGCCGACCUGAGAGGGUGAUCGGCCACACUGGAACUGAGACACGGUCCAGACUCCUACGGGAGGCAGCAGUAGGGAAUCUUCCGCAAUGGGCGAAAGCCUGACGGAGCAACGCCGCGUGAGUGAUGAAGGUCUUCGGAUCGUAAAGCUCUGUUGUUAGGGAAGAACAAAUGUGUAAGUAACUGUGCACAUCUUGACGGUACCUAACCAGAAAGCCACGGCUAACUACGUGCCAGCAGCCGCGGUAAUACGUAGGUGGCAAGCGUUAUCCGGAAUUAUUGGGCGUAAAGCGCGCGUAGGCGGUUUUUUAAGUCUGAUGUGAAAGCCCACGGCUCAACCGUGGAGGGUCAUUGGAAACUGGAAAACUUGAGUGCAGAAGAGGAAAGUGGAAUUCCAUGUGUAGCGGUGAAAUGCGCAGAGAUAUGGAGGAACACCAGUGGCGAAGGCGGCUUUCUGGUCUGCAACUGACGCUGAUGUGCGAAAGCGUGGGGAUCAAACAGGAUUAGAUACCCUGGUAGUCCACGCCGUAAACGAUGAGUGCUAAGUGUUAGGGGGUUUCCGCCCCUUAGUGCUGCAGCUAACGCAUUAAGC
rnacentral:rRNA from 1 species